GCAGCAUUUCAGUCUGCCUUUAUUAGGCCACAUCACCACUAAAAAUACAGGUGUCAAAGAUUUCCAGCUGUAAAAUUUUGACAGCACAUUACAGCUCAUCUCAGAAUUUGCUUUUCUUCAGUAUGGAUAUUUCAUAUGGGAAGAAAACCAAUCUGUUGUAAACACAAUAAAACUGGCAGGGGUAGACCUUAAAAUGAUGAGAUUUUAAAAAUACUUAAAAGGAAUCAAGCAACCAUGGAAGUUUACAUAUGCAUUAUUAGAAGGUUAGCCCAGCUCUCAAAGCAUUCAAAUACAUAUUCAUCAGCUUGCCAUAUGCUCACAUACACAUGCAAGACAACAACCACCGCCUGCCCAAAAGCUGUCUUUCAUUUCUGUUAAAUAGAAUUAGUGCUUUCUUAAUUUAAGAAUUGUCAAACCUGUGGUUGAGGUGAAGUUUUCAAACGUUCAGUUUGCCUUCAAAUGAAGGUUUGUCAAUUUUUGUGCUUAUAUGAAGGUAUUGGUCCUUAUCUCAUGCAGUUUCACUGCUCGAUGCAACAAAUACACACUUGCACACUAAACACCAGAACCCCUUUUCUACUGCUACUUUGCAUUUCAUUUGCCAUAACUGUGAUGCAAAGCUUUCGCUUCUGAAAACGGAAAGAAGUACCUUAAGCCACCAGUGGCAUGGAUUAAGUGACGAUCAGAUUUUGACUCAAGAUGGAAAAGUGUGCUUCAGACCAAUAGAUGCUUCUCAAGUAAGCUAGCUCCCAGGUGACUUCACAUCUGGGGACUUCCUUUCAAAUGUUACAGUUUCACCACAGCAAUGAGUGACUACAUUGGAAACACAACCUAAAGUAAGCUCUGUACUUCCCAACCUCCUCUCUCAGAUGUCAGCACUUCUUCUUAAGUUCCUCUCAGCAAACAUCCCUUUCUUCACUGGCCCCUUCUUCAGCGUGGGAAGCAGGGCUGGUAAACCAAGAGUUGGAAGCAAAGCCUGGUGAUUCUUACACAUUGCCCAGCAAAGCUUCAUUUUUAGGUUUUCUGGCACAGGCAGCUGACGCACCUUUUGACACAGCAGCAGAACGGCCUUUAUAUAAAACCAAGUGUUUAAAGCCAACUAAAAAGUUUUUGCACUGGACGCUAGAAAAGAUCUGUAAGUUCUAUCAAUUUCAAUCAAAAAUAAAUUUAUUUCAAAAUCUUACACACAAUCUUCAUUGCACAAAUCAAAAAGUAUUCACGUUGAUGGCUGCAGAAUAAUACACUACUUAAAAUAAGAAAUCUCCAUGAGGAUGGGCUGGGGGGAACCGCAAGAAGUAAGCUACAUU
rnacentral:lncRNA from 7 species